rnacentral:rRNA from 1 species
UACAGAGGUCUCAAGCGUUGUUCGGAUUCAUUGGGCGUAAAGGGUGCGUAGGCGGCGCGGUAAGUCGGGUGUGAAAUCUCGGAGCUUAACUCCGAAACUGCAUUCGAUACUGCCGUGCUUGAGGACUGGAGAGGAGACUGGAAUUUACGGUGUAACGGUGAAAUGCGUAGAUAUCGUAAGGAAGACCAGUGGCGAAGGCGGGUCUCUGGACAGGUUCCUGACGCUGAGGGCACGAAGGUCAGGGAGCAAACGGG